UUUAAGUGUAUUUUUAGAUUUUUCGUGUGUAAUAUUUAACCGUCCGUCUUAUUUAAAAUUUUUUUAUGAUUAGUAUUUUUAUUGGUAUUAAAUGAUAAAACAUGGAUGAUACUUUAUGAGUGACUUUUUUUAAUUUUUUUAAUAUUUUUUUCAAAUAAGAUAAACGGUCAAAUAUUGGACAGAAACCUACAACUGUACUUCAA
rfam:Oryza glumipatula chromosome 7, whole genome shotgun sequence.